AUAGUGUGGUCUGUUUCCCGGAAAAGCGCCCUAUGUUAAACCAAUACCCUGCUCCGCAGCCCUGAACUGCUAUCCCUCCUCGUAAUCUCUAAGGGUAUACACGAACCAGAUAAACAUACACCCAAAGGUAAACAUAUAUCACACGUGUUCGAUAAGAAUCACUAUACCUGAAGACUAGUCACCUCAUCUAGAACAUCUAUGACCCAGAAACCUAAUACCACAGUAACACUAAUGUACUUAAUCCACGAAGUUUGGGGGUCACGGAAAAAUGCUAAUAUCACAUACAAUAACAAUGGACUCGAAAUCGCAAACUACCAAAACGUCCAUUCUCUUUCAGGAGAACAUUAAUAUAUUAAUGAUGAUUGACAAUAACUUGUCUUAUGUAAAUAUCUCAUAUUCAUUAUGCACUAUAUAAGUCGAGAUUAUAAACACAUCAUCAUGUCGAACGUCACCGCUGUGAAAAUCAACAAAAUUUUAAAUCACAUGUUCAAUGUGAAGAAGAAGACAAGACUACUCACCAAAGAGGAAAAGACAAUGCGAGUGGAUAGGAUAGUGGAUGUACUGUUCAUGCAAGUGAACAGUAAAUACCCGAAGGUAGUGCUCCGGCGCAUCGAGGAUCAUCCACCCAACAAAGUCGUUGGAAAGACCCGACCUCAGAGAAAAAUGAAGGAAAAACGAACAUGCGCAUUUUGCAAGACAUGCUGCUCGAGCAAACCCGACCUCAGAGGAAAAUGAGAAAAACGACAUGCGCGUUUUUUACAAGACAUACUACUCAGGUUUUCACUGGGUAAACAAUCCGAUUCGGAGUAAGCAGCAUGGUAAAUAAUACCCACGCGAAGCAUGCCGAUCGAGGAAAUACACCCAACUUAACGAGAGACAAUGCUCGAUGUGAAUGGUUGAAUUGUAAUGCAAUAUAUGUGAUGAUUUGAAGCAUCACUAUUGUAAAUAUACCACUGUAACAUCAGAAAUGAGUAAAAAUCUUUUUAUUAUUCCAACGAUUGUAAUAUGUAUGAAGGUGAAAUAGUGUUGAA